UUCUAAGGGGUUGAGGAGGUGCCUCCUUAUUGAACAAGGUGCUAUGAGCUGGCAAUUGCCACCCUCUGUUCUCCUGUGACAGGUCUGUGUUCAGCUGGGUACUACUGUGAAGGAGGAGCCACUGAUGUCAUUCCCCGAGGGACACCUGCCUUCCCACUCAAUGGGCCCUGCCCACUUGGGCACUAUUGUCCAGAGGGUACUCAUUUCCCAAUUGCCUGCCCAGCUGGGACCCUGAACAAUGCCACAGGUGGUACCUCCCCGGAGAGCUGUGUGCCAUGCCAUCCUGGGUCUUUCUGUGCUGGCACUGGUUUGAGUUCUCCAACAGGACCUUGUACUGAGGGGUUUUACUGCCCGGCAAACUUCAGCUCCAUCAGCCCCACGGCUUUCCUCUGCCCUAAGGUAUUGCUUAGUGACAGCGGGGCAGUGAAAGAGGUGGGUCUCAGCUCUGGGCAGGACGUGUUGGUUUUCCACAGUGGCAAAGGGUCACACAUGCCUCAUUGAAAUGUUGAUUACAUCCACACGGAACGUUGGCCAAGGCUUUGGUAAUUCUGGGAUUCACCCUUUAUGCAGACCCUGAGUUUUUCACCAUCUCCAUGCAAUCCUCUUCCUUCUCUGUCAUUGCCAGGGUCACUUCUGCCAGACAGGGGCAGCCCUCCCAACGCCGUGCCCUGCUGGGGAAUACCAGCCGGCCAGGGGCUCUGCGUCCUGCGUUCCGUGCCAGAGAGGAUUCUACUGCCAGGAGCCAGUGGCAGGAGACCCCAAGCGCUGCCCACCACAUUCUUACUGUCCUACAGGCACAUGGGUUCCUCUCACGUGUCCUGAAGGCACCUUCACUCCUGCAAACAUGACUGGCCUCUGGAACGAGGAGGAAUGCCUGCCUUGCUUGCCCGGUCACUACUGCAGGCACGGACGGCUGGAGGGGAAGUGUGCUGCUGGAUAUUUCUGCCUUGCUGGGAGCUCUCAGUCUGCUCCCCACGGCCACAGCUUUUCCUGGCGCUUCCUCUCUGGGUGCCGCUGGGGUCAGGCGUGUGCAGGGCUGUGUCCUGCAGGUUUCUACUGCCCAGAGGGAUCUGAGGUACCUAUACCAUGUCCUGCCAAUACUAUUAGAGAUGUUCCAGGGGCUGUGAAGAGGGAGGACUGCCUGCCCUGUCCAGCAGGACACUGGUGCAAAGCAGGGGCUUCAGAGGCCUAUCCAUGUCCAUCAGGACAUUAUUGCUUUGGAGCCAAUGGCAGCGACCACAGUAGUGUCCUGGCACCUCAGAAAUGCCCGCCACAAACUUACCGCAAGUACCCAGGAGCUCAGAGCCUGACAGAUUGCCAGCCAUGUCCUCCGGGCUAUCGCUGCCCAUUAUCAGGUCUGACCAGGUUUGAGGAUUAUCCGUGCCCCCCUGGAUACUGGUGCCCUGGUAAAGGGGACGCUUUCCUUUGUCCAGCUGGCACUUCCAGGAUCCGGCCUGGUGCAAAAUCAUUGGAAGAGUGUGAUCCCUGCUCACCUGGAUACUAUUGCCCGGAUCCAGCACAGACGGAGCUGCCUAACACCCAAGGAGUGCCUUGUAAACCUGGCUAUGAAUGCCCAGCAGGUUCAGUAAAUCCAAAGCCUUGCAGGCCUGGCUUAUACUGUGGUGCUCACACAGCCGUGCCUUCCGUGUGCCCUGCCGGGUAUUACUGUCCUGAAGGAUCGUCGACAUACAAUAGCCCUGAGCAGCUGUGUGUGUUUCCCUACUACUGUCCCCCAGGCAGUGCCCAUCCACUGCCUUGUGAAGGAGGGUACAUGGCCCUCAACUUGCCUGGUCCAAGGGAUUCAUUUGAGAAAUUCUGCAGAAUCUGUGAUGCAGGCACCUACCGUAGUGACUCCCUUAUCACGGCGCCCUGUCAGCCCUGCCCAGCAGGCUUCAUCUGCCCACAAGGCAGUGAGAGUUACCACAAGAAGCCUUGCCCCAGUGGCCAUUACUGCCCUCCCCUGGCAUCUGUCCCUCUGCCCUGUCCCCCGGGAACCCACGGGAGCAGCACCUUCGCGAAGCACGUAGAGGAUUGCCAGCCCUGUCCUGCCGGUACCUUCAACCACCUUCCUGCUCAGGCUGCCUGUUUCCCCUGUGGCAGCUCUUCUUCCUCCCAGCCUGGUGCUACCACCUGUACCUGCCAUGGGUUGAACCGGGCUUUCCAGCAGUCAGAUGCCUCCUGCAUCUGCCAGGCGGGGUAUGUUUACUACGAUGAGAGAGGCAAGAAAGACCCUGACGGCAACAGCGAUCAGGACUGCCGACCUCAGGUAAAGCCUGGCUUCAUAACAAAGUUGUUGUGUGACCCACAGGAAAGGAGAAGUAGUUGAGUGCUCCAGGCCUUGUCUCAGGAUGUGUACAUCUCUGAGCUCGGUUCUCUGGGCUUCUGCAGACACAAGCAAAUCAUUUAAUUGUUUUGUUUGAGAGGCUUUACCAUUCCAUGUAGGAUAAUGGCAUUGUCUUCCUUACCAGAGUCUUGGGAAGUGAAAUUCAUAAGGGCUGGAGGCAAACAAUGCUUCCAUGUUACAGCAAUGGGG
rnacentral:lncRNA from 1 species